rnacentral:rRNA from 1 species
GGGUUGUGAGGUUAAGCGACUAAGCGUACACGGUGGAUGCCCUGGCAGUCAGAGGCGAUGAAGGACGUGCUAAUCUGCGAUAAGCGUCGGUAAGGUGAUAUGAACCGUUAUAACCGGCGAUUUCCGAAUGGGGAAACCCAGUGUGUUUCGACACACUAUCAUUAACUGAAUCCAUAGGUUAAUGAGGCGAACCGGGGGAACUGAAACAUCUAAGUACCCCGAGGAAAAGAAAUCAACCGAGAUUCCCCCAGUAGCGGCGAGCGAACGGGGAGCAGCCCAGAGCCUGAAUCAGUGUGUGUGUUAGUGGAAGCGUCUGGAAAGGCGCGCGAUACAGGGUGACAGCCCCGUACACAAAAAUGCACAUGCUGUGAGCUCGAUGAGUAGGGCGGGACACGUGGUAUCCUGUCUGAAUAUGGGGGGACCAUCCUCCAAGGCUAAAUACUCCUGACUGACCGAUAGUGAACCAGUACCGUGAGGGAAAGGCGAAAAGAACCCCGGCGAGGGGAGUGAAAAAGAACCUGAAACCGUGUACGUACAAGCAGUGGGAGCACGCUUAGGCGUGUGACUGCGUACCUUUUGUAUAAUGGGUCAGCGACUUAUAUUCUGUAGCAAGGUUAACCGAAUAGGGGAGCCGAAGGGAAACCGAGUCUUAACUGGGCGUUAAGUUGCAGGGUAUAGACCCGAAACCCGGUGAUCUAGCCAUGGGCAGGUUGAAGGUUGGGUAACACUAACUGGAGGACCGAACCGACUAAUGUUGAAAAAUUAGCGGAUGACUUGUGGCUGGGGGUGAAAGGCCAAUCAAACCGGGAGAUAGCUGGUUCUCCCCGAAAGCUAUUUAGGUAGCGCCUCGUGAAUUCAUCUCCGGGGGUAGAGCACUGUUUCGGCAAGGGGGUCAUCCCGACUUACCAACCCGAUGCAAACUGCGAAUACCGGAGAAUGUUAUCACGGGAGACACACGGCGGGUGCUAACGUCCGUCGUGAAGAGGGAAACAACCCAGACCGCCAGCUAAGGUCCCAAAGUCAUGGUUAAGUGGGAAACGAUGUGGGAAGGCCCAGACAGCCAGGAUGUUGGCUUAGAAGCAGCCAUCAUUUAAAGAAAGCGUAAUAGCUCACUGGUCGAGUCGGCCUGCGCGGAAGAUGUAACGGGGCUAAACCAUGCACCGAAGCUGCGGCAGCGACGCUGAUGCGUUGUUGGGUAGGGGAGCGUUCUGUAAGCCUGCGAAGGUGUGCUGUGAGGCAUGCUGGAGGUAUCAGAAGUGCGAAUGCUGACAUAAGUAACGAUAAAGCGGGUGAAAAGCCCGCUCGCCGGAAGACCAAGGGUUCCUGUCCAACGUUAAUCGGGGCAGGGUGAGUCGACCCCUAAGGCGAGGCCGAAAGGCGUAGUCGAUGGGAAACAGGUUAAUAUUCCUGUACUUGGUGUUACUGCGAAGGGGGGACGGAGAAGGCUAUGUUGGCCGGGCGACGGUUGUCCCGGUUUAAGCGUGUAGGCUGGUUUUCCAGGCAAAUCCGGAAAAUCAAGGCUGAGGCGUGAUGACGAGGCACUACGGUGCUGAAGCAACAAAUGCCCUGCUUCCAGGAAAAGCCUCUAAGCAUCAGGUAACAUCAAAUCGUACCCCAAACCGACACAGGUGGUCAGGUAGAGAAUACCAAGGCGCUUGAGAGAACUCGGGUGAAGGAACUAGGCAAAAUGGUGCCGUAACUUCGGGAGAAGGCACGCUGAUAUGUAGGUGAAGCGACUUGCUCGUGGAGCUGAAAUCAGUCGAAGAUACCAGCUGGCUGCAACUGUUUAUUAAAAACACAGCACUGUGCAAACACGAAAGUGGACGUAUACGGUGUGACGCCUGCCCGGUGCCGGAAGGUUAAUUGAUGGGGUCAGCGCAAGCGAAGCUCUUGAUCGAAGCCCCGGUAAACGGCGGCCGUAACUAUAACGGUCCUAAGGUAGCGAAAUUCCUUGUCGGGUAAGUUCCGACCUGCACGAAUGGCGUAAUGAUGGCCAGGCUGUCUCCACCCGAGACUCAGUGAAAUUGAACUCGCUGUGAAGAUGCAGUGUACCCGCGGCAAGACGGAAAGACCCCGUGAACCUUUACUAUAGCUUGACACUGAACAUUGAGCCUUGAUGUGUAGGAUAGGUGGGAGGCUUUGAAGUGUGGACGCCAGUCUGCAUGGAGCCGACCUUGAAAUACCACCCUUUAAUGUUUGAUGUUCUAACGUUGACCCGUGAUCCGGGUUGCGGACAGUGUCUGGUGGGUAGUUUGACUGGGGCGGUCUCCUCCUAAAGAGUAACGGAGGAGCACGAAGGUUGGCUAAUCCUGGUCGGACAUCAGGAGGUUAGUGCAAUGGCAUAAGCCAGCUUGACUGCGAGCGUGACGGCGCGAGCAGGUGCGAAAGCAGGUCAUAGUGAUCCGGUGGUUCUGAAUGGAAGGGCCAUCGCUCAACGGAUAAAAGGUACUCCGGGGAUAACAGGCUGAUACCGCCCAAGAGUUCAUAUCGACGGCGGUGUUUGGCACCUCGAUGUCGGCUCAUCACAUCCUGGGGCUGAAGUAGGUCCCAAGGGUAUGGCUGUUCGCCAUUUAAAGUGGUACGCGAGCUGGGUUUAGAACGUCGUGAGACAGUUCGGUCCCUAUCUGCCGUGGGCGCUGGAGAACUGAGGGGGGCUGCUCCUAGUACGAGAGGACCGGAGUGGACGCAUCACUGGUGUUCGGGUUGUCAUGCCAAUGGCACUGCCCGGUAGCUAAAUGCGGAAGAGAUAAGUGCUGAAAGCAUCUAAGCACGAAACUUGCCCCGAGAUGAGUUCUCCCUGACUCCUUGAGAGUCCUGAAGGAACGUUGAAGACGACGACGUUGAUAGGCCGGGUGUGUAAGCGCAGCGAUGCGUUGAGCUAACCGGUACUAAUGAACCGUGAGGCUUAACCUUACAACGCCGAAG